rnacentral:rRNA from 1 species
CUCGCGGCCUAUCAGCUUGUUGGUGGGGUAAUGGCCUACCAAGGCAUCGACGGGUAGCUGGUCUGAGAGGAUGAUCAGCCACACUGGGACUGAGACACGGCCCAGACUCCUACGGGAGGCAGCAGUGGGGAAUCUUGCGCAAUGGGCGAAAGCCUGACGCAGCAACGCCGCGUGCGGGAAGAAGGCUCUCGGGUUGUAAACCGCUUUCAGCAGGAACGAAAAUGACGGUACCUGCAGAAGAAGGUGCGGCCAACUACGUGCCAGCAGCCGCGGUGACACGUAGGCACCAAGCGUUGUCCGGAUUUAUUGGGCGUAAAGAGCUCGUAGGCGGUUCGGUAAGUCGGGUGUGAAAACUUUGGGCUUAACCCAAAGCGUGCAUCCGAUACUGCUGUGACUUGAGUUCGGUAGGGGAGUGGGGAAUUCCUAGUGUAGCGGUGAAAUGCGCAGAUAUUAGGAGGAACACCGGUGGCGAAGGCGCCACUCUGGGCCGAAACUGACGCUGAGGAGCGAAAGCGUGGGUAGCAAACAGGAUUAGAUACCCUGGUAGUCCACGCCGUAAACGUUGGGCACUAGGUGUGGGUCUCGACCAACGAGAUCCGCGCCGUCGCUAACGCAUUAAGUGCCCCGCCUGGGGAGUACGGAAGCUUGGAAUUCGC